GGUUUCUUAGCGGAGUGUCAAAAAUGGACUGCACCACCGAGAUCUGGAAAAGGGUAGAAAACACUAUUUUUGUUUUUUAACAUCGUCUGGAUAAAAUAUAUUGGAUACAUUAAAUACACACUGCACAAGAUGGCCUGGGGGCUGAUGGGAGAAAGAGAGGCCACCUCAGUCGGAAGAGCGGGAGCUGGAUGGUGGCAUCUCACCAGUCUGUUUCUGCCUUCUCAUGUUUGUGAUUCAACAUCUUUACCCACUUUUAAAUGAGCUCUUAAGACACAUCUUUUAAGCCUGGCUUUUAGUAAGCUGUGAAUGUUUAAAAUUGUAUUAAAUUGUUUUAAUUGUU